GACGAACGCUGGCGGCGUGCCUAAUACAUGCAAGUCGAGCGCAGGAAGCCGACGGAACCCUUCGGGGGGAAGUCGACGGAAUGAGCGGCGGACGGGUGAGUAACACGUAAAGAACCUGCCCUCAGGUCUGGGAUAACCACGAGAAAUCGGGGCUAAUACCGGAUGGGUCAUCGGACCGCAUGGUCCGAGGAUGAAAGGCGCUCCGGCGUCGCCUGGGGAUGGCUUUGCGGUGCAUUAGCUAGUUGGUGGGGUAAUGGCCCACCAAGGCGACGAUGCAUAGCCGACCUGAGAGGGUGAUCGGCCACACUGGGACUGAGACACGGCCCAGACUCCUACGGGAGGCAGCAGUAGGGAAUCUUCCACAAUGGACGAAAGUCUGAUGGGGCAACGCCGCGUGAACGAUGAAGGCCUUCGGGUCGUAAAGUUCUGUUGUAAGGGAAGAACAAGUGCCGCAGGCAAUGGCGGCACCUUGACGGUACCUUGCGAGAAAGCCACGGCUAACUACGUGCCAGCCGCCGCAGUAACAC
rnacentral:rRNA from 1 species